UACGUGAGGGGGCAAGCGUUGUCCGGAAUCAUUGGGCGUAAAGAGCGUGUAGGCGGCUCGGUAAGUCCGCUGUAAAAGUCCAGGGCUCAACCCUGGAAAGCCGGUGGAAACUGUCGAGCUAGAGUCCGGAAGAGGCGAGUGGAAUUCCUGGUGGUAGCGGUGAAAUGCGCAGAUAUCAGGAGGAACACCAAUGGCGAAGGCAGCUCGCUGGGACGGUACUGACGCUGAGACGCGAAAGCGUGGGGAGCAAACAGG
rnacentral:rRNA from 1 species